rnacentral:rRNA from 1 species
GACAGAGGAUGCAAGCGUUAUCCGGAAUGAUUGGGCGUAAAGCGUCUGUAGGUGGCUUUUAAGUCCGCCGUCAAAUCCCAGGGCUCAACCCUGGACAGGCGGUGGAAACUACCAAGCUGGAGUACGGUAGGGGCAGAGGGAAUUCCGGUGGAGCGGUGAAUGACGUAGAUAUACGGGAAGAACACCAAAGGCGAAAGCGCUCUGCUGGGCCGAAACUGACACUGAGAGACGAAAGCUAGGGGAGCGAAUGGG